UACGAGGGGUGCAAACGUUAUUCGGAAUCACUGGGCGUAAAGGGUGCGUAGACGGUGAUAUAAGUCAAUUAUUAAAUUUCCUGGCUUAACUGGGAACCUGUGAUUGAAACUAUAUUGCUUGAGGAUGGAAGAGAGAAGCGGAAUUCUCGGAGUAGCGGUAAAAUGCGUAGAUCUCGAGAGGAACACCGAUGGCGAAGGCAGCUUCUUGGUCCAUUUCUGACGUUGAGGCACGACAUCGUGGGGAGCAAUCAGG
rnacentral:rRNA from 1 species